rnacentral:rRNA from 1 species
CAGGCUUAACACAUGCAAGUCGAGGGGCAGUUUUUCAGUUUGCUUGCAAACUGGAGAUGGCGACCGGCGCACGGGUGAGUAACACGUAUCCAACCUGCCGAUAACUCGGGGAUAGCCUUUCGAAAGAAAGAUUAAUACCCGAUGGCAUAAUUAGACCGCAUGGUCUUAUUAUUAAAGAAUUUCGGUUAUCGAUGGGGAUGCGUUCCAUUAGGCAGUUGGUGAGGUAACGGCUCACCAAACCUUCGAUGGAUAGGGGUUCUGAGAGGAAGGUCCCCCACAUUGGAACUGAGACACGGUCCAAACUCCUACGGGAGGCAGCAGUGAGGAAUAUUGGUCAAUGGGCGCAGGCCUGAACCAGCCAAGUAGCGUGAAGGAUGACUGCCCUAUGGGUUGUAAACUUCUUUUAUAUGGGAAUAAAGUUUUCCACGUGUGGAAUUUUGUAUGUACCAUAUGAAUAAGGAUCGGCUAACUCCGUGCCAGCAGCCGCGGUAAUACGGAGGAUCCGAGCGUUAUCCGGAUUUAUUGGGUUUAAAGGGAGCGUAGGUGGACAGUUAAGUCAGUUGUGAAAGUUUGCGGCUCAACCGUAAAAUUGCAGUUGAUACUGGCUGUCUUGAGUACAGUAGAGGUGGGCGGAAUUCGUGGUGUAGCGGUGAAAUGCUUAGAUAUCACGAAGAACUCCGAUUGCGAAGGCAGCUCACUGGACUGCAACUGACACUGAUGCUCGAAAGUGUGGGUAUCAAACAGGAUUAGAUACCCUGGUAGUCCACACAGUAAACGAUGAAUACUCGCUGUUUGCGAUAUACAGUAAGCGGCCAAGCGAAAGCAUUAAGUAUUCCACCUGGGGAGUACGCCGGCAACGGUGAAACUCAAAGGAAUUGACGGGGGCCCGCACAAGCGGAGGAACAUGUGGUUUAAUUCGAUGAUACGCGAGGAACCUUACCCGGGCUUAAAUUGCAUUUGAAUAAUCUGGAAACAGGUUAGCCGCAAGGCAAAUGUGAAGGUGCUGCAUGGUUGUCGUCAGCUCGUGCCGUGAGGUGUCGGCUUAAGUGCCAUAACGAGCGCAACCCUUAUCUUUAGUUACUAACAGGUCAUGCUGAGGACUCUAGAGAGACUGCCGUCGUAAGAUGUGAGGAAGGUGGGGAUGACGUCAAAUCAGCACGGCCCUUACGUCCGGGGCUACACACGUGUUACAAUGGGGGGUACAGAAGGCAGCUACCUGGUGACAGGAUGCUAAUCCCAAAAGCCUCUCUCAGUUCGGAUCGAAGUCUGCAACCCGACUUCGUGAAGCUGGAUUCGCUAGUAAUCGCGCAUCAGCCAUGGCGCGGUGAAUACGUUCCCGGGCCUUGUACACACCG